rnacentral:tRNA from 1 species
UCCCUGGUGGCUCAGCUGGUAAAGAAUCUGCCUGCAAUUCAGGAGACCUGGGUUCAAUUCCUGGAUUGGGAA